rnacentral:snRNA from 14 species
UUACUGACCUGGCAGGGGAGAUCCCCUUCUUCUUGCCUUGAAUGACUUGGUGUAGUUGAGGGUGGAGACCUGUCCAUUGCACUGAGGGCAGGCAGGCUGCCCUGUGAGAGUUUACUAUAGCCUCCCAAUGGGAGGAUCUCAGCUAUGCAGUCUGUGGUGAUGGGGGAUUGCUCUCGGGCUUUUCCUUU